UUUCCGUAGGUGAACCUGCGGAAGGAUCAUUACAGGGUUUACCUAGGGGAAGGUACUAUGGAUACCCGGAAAACUGCCCCCUCGUGUCUGACCAUGUGUUGCAAUGAGGGGCCGCGAGCUCGCCUAACGCUUGAGCACCGGCUUUGGGUGGAUAGCGUGUGCCAGAAGAAACAACUCUGUUAUUUAUGACAACUGAUUUCUAUGUAAUAGUAAAGAUUAACAACAAAGGAUCUCUUAGUUCUAGAAUCGAUGAAGAACGCAGCAGAUGGCAAGAGC
rnacentral:misc_RNA from 1 species